rnacentral:rRNA from 1 species
CGCGUAGGGCGCGAGCGUUGUCCGGAAUUAUUGGGCGUAAAGAGCUCGUAGGCGGCCUGUUGCGUCCGCUGUGAAAGCCCGGGGCUUAACCCCGGGUCGGCAGUGGAUACGGGCAGGCUAGAGGUAGGUAGGGGAGAAUGGAAUUCCCGGUGUAGCGGUGAAAUGCGCAGAUAUCGGGAGGAACACCGGUGGCGAAGGCGGUUCUCUGGGCCUUACCUGACGCUGAGGAGCGAAAGCGUGGGGAGCGAACAGG